UAAGAAUCUUUAACCUAAUUUUUCAUUUGAUUCAUUUCCUCAACAGCCGUUAUUUUCAUUCUCUCUCCAUUCUUCUAUCUGAAAGUCAGUCACUCAGUCAUCCAUCUUCUUUCUCACUACUUCGUCUCAAUCACCAUUGUUCAAUUCAUCUUCUUCCCCAAGGUGAGUUUAAGAAAUUGCAGCACCAUGGUUGGAGGAAUUAGCUAGAAGAUGAAAGUGCAGCACUAUGCGAAGUGACUGAUUGAUUUUUCAUGCAUUGAGAUUUUGUAGCUUUGUAUAUAUUAUUGGAUUUGGAUUUGUGGAAUUUUCACAGUAUGAAAUUGUUAAUUAAUUAUAAUUAAUAUUGUUGUUAUUA